UACGUAGGCAGCGAGCGUUGUUCGGAAUUACUGGGCGUAAAGAGUGUGUAGGCGGUGCUCUAAGUUCGGUGUGAAAUCUCCUGGCUCAACUGGGAGGGUGCGCCGGAAACUGGAAUGCUUGAGCGUGGGAGAGGAAAGCGGAAUUCCUGGUGUAGCGGUGAAAUGCGUAGAUAUCAGGAGGAACACCUGCGGUGUAGACGGCUUUCUGGACCAUUGCUGACGCUGAGACACGAAAGCGUGGGUAGCAAACAGG
rnacentral:rRNA from 1 species